rnacentral:lncRNA from 1 species
CUUGUCCUUAACUGCUCUACAGAAUUUUGUGAAACUGAGAUAAGGCGUUUUACUCAAAGGAUGUACUUUUGCACCUAUUAAUAUUUCAUUUCUGCAUGUGUAUUUUAGGGUUAACUUUGAUAUUCAAUGACUGCAUCUCAUAAAGCCCAAUCAGCAUAUAAUGCAACUAUCUAAGAAUCUAUACCAUAUAAUACCAUUGAGCACAC